CUCUGUAAAUCCCCUGACCCACUGCUAGGGAGGAGAUGCUCAAAGGGACUUUGGGUAUGACCCCAACAGCUGCUCCUUGGUUAUCCAAAUGAUUUCCCAUGUGUACAGAGCCCCUCUGGCUGCAGCACUGCCCGGGGUGUGCAGCUCCCAGCCCCCAGGCACAGAGGGGUUAAUGAGCCAGGCAGCCCCGCAGAGCAGGGCAGGGCAGGAUCAGACACCAGAGCCAGCACUGCCACCUCCAAACCCCCACCUCCAUCCUCGGAAUGAAAUUAUUCCCGGGUGGAAGAAAAAGAAAGAAACAGAAAGACUAUCAAAAGCUUGGAAAUUGUUGAAGACGGUUCAUUUCAGUUUUCCCAUCCGAAAACCCUUUUCCUUUUGAUUUGGUCACCUAACCACGGAACUCUAAUGACAGCAGCUCCGUGACAUUUCCUCUCAGCACUUAGGAGGAGUUUUCCAAGGUCAGACAAAGGGGAUGAAACAAGAGAGUGGCACUUCUCAAUGUGCGUGGGGAUGAUUGAUCGCCCCAUCAGAUAUUAGAGAGACACGCUGUCCUUUCAUGUCCUGAUCAAAGGAGAACAUCCUGUGCCCCAGAUAUUCUCCAGAGUGCCUUCAUUUAACAGUUCCAAGGUCAGCUGAAGGAAAAUGUGGCAUCUUUUCCUCUGGCAGUCUCCAGCCCUGGUGCUCCACGUGGAAUGCUUUAGGAGAUGCACAUCCUCGGGAUGAAAAGGCUGACACUGACACCAGCAGCUCAGAGAAACAACAGCUCGGUGUAAAAGACAACCUUUGCUGAAAACAGUCCCUGGAACAGCCAGAGGGCCCUUCCAAGUUGUUCACGAAUUUUCUCUGAAGAGCAAUUAGAGAGCUAUUGUUCAAAGUGUGCUCAACAAGGAGGCAAUGAAGACCUCAAAGGGAAGAGGCAGAGCCUCUUGCCUUGAUAGAGGCACUCCAGAAACGAGCAGGGGGGAGGCAGGCACAGAGAGCAGGAAAACAAGAGAAGCUGAGACACUGCUCUGGGCUUGGGGGCUUUUUGAGUGGGUAUUUUUGGGGGGAGGAUUAAAAUAUUUCCAUCCAGAAAUGCAGUGGAACAAAA